GAGAGAGCGUAGUAACUGAUUAUUCACAUGUACGACCCACAACUCACUGAACUCAUGUGACACCCACACUGAACCUCACAGUGAUUAUAGAUCACUCAGGGCAGAGAGAAGAUCAGAGAAACAAAACAUCAGCGAGCUUCCAAGGAAGAAAAGUUUUAUGAUAUUUACAGAAAUCUGAAUUGCUACCAAGAAGUGGAUUUAAAACCUAUUCAAACAAGGGGGCCGUUACUGAGUGACAGGGUACCUGUGUACAUUAAUGUUACCUGAGCUGAGAGGGGGGACGUCGUCGGUGCUGGAGAAGUCCAAUGUGGCCCCUGCAAUAUCCACCAUAUCAUCAUCAUCAUCGUCACUU